UGAUUUUGCUCCUGAUCAGCGCGUCAUGAGGUCCCACGAGCCUCGGCGGUUAUAGGACGUUAGGGCUCGCGGAGGAAUGUGUGUCCUAGCAACGUCUCUGGGUCGUUAGACCUGAACCUCGAACAUUUACUCAAAUACAACCCACAAACUCUACUUUUAGAGUAAAUACAACCCACAAACUCUACUUUAAUACAUCCCAUGUGUGGAUAGAGUGUCUAUUUUGUAAAACAAGGCGAGAAUAAGCGGUGAAAGUUACCCACCUUCUCUGCCCAACGAGCCCGUCACUCCGAGCAACACGGCCCCGACGAACACCAAACUUCUCGCCGCCUCCAUCUGCUGCUGCGACCCGGCGGCUCUCUAGUCCAUACUCACAAAAACAAUCCACUGGCAGCCCACUUCACAAGGGGCAACUCUCUGUGUCCGCCAGUCCUCUUUUGGCACAGAUGGACACAUGCCGUACCAAACACUGGAGGUUGUGACGGCCUGGCUGGGGAUUUGGUGCCAUCUAUUGUCAGCCACAGCAAACUGCCAUUUGUGCAGAGCUUGCAGACACUGUCUGAAAUGCCUCUCUUCCGUAAAGCUACGACACAAAGACAGAGCAGGUGAGUGGACGAACCUGUAGAAAAGGAAGUGCACCGGUAUGGUGCUGAGGUGCCAAACAGCGUGAGCGUCGAGGACCCAGAGCAUUGGGGGGAAGUCCAGCAGCUCCAGCAGGGCCAGGCCGUGAAGCAUCACCACCACCAGGCCGCACUUCCACCAGUACGGCAGGGUCCGCCGGUUCUGCCAGCACCAACACAGCCACCACAGGAGGUUCACCAUGCCUUUAAAGACAAAAGAUGGUUAAAGAUAAGAAAGACAAAGAACCAGAUAAGAGCAAUCUUAAAACAAUAGUAAAUCAGUUGUGAAAAA